ACUUAGCUGCUGAAGGAGGAGAGUCACAUUCAGCCAGGGAUCACUAAGCAUUCAAAAGUCCAUCUGAGACCUGCUUUCAUUGCACUGCCUUGUGAGGAGUUGUAGGAGAAGACAUCAUAACUAUUCCCUACUUCUAAUUGUUAGAGGCAACAGCUGUCUAUCAAGAACAAUCUGAGGAUUUUGCACAAAUUGAUUUGGUUCUAUCAAGUGCUGGCUUUCGAUUCCAGUCUGACUUCACUACCACAGGAGCUUCUUGCUCAGGCUUCUGUUCCGGCUCCAUUCUCUCCCUGCCAUUAUAAUGCCAUCCACUGCAGCACCAUCUCUUCAAUCAGUGAGUUCACCCUUUCCUCCCUCACUUCUAUUUUCUUGAGAGGAAAUGAGCAUUUUUUUUUCUUUUUUUAGACAGAGUCUCGCUCUGUUUCUCAGGCUGGAGUGCAGUGGUGUGAUCUCGGCUCACAGCAACCUCUACCUCCCAGAUUCAAGUGAUUUUCCUGCCUUAGCCUCCCAAGUAGCUGGGACUGCAGGCAUGCACCACCAUGACUGGCUAAUUUUUGUAUUUUCAGUAGAGAUGGGGUUUCACCUUGUUGGCCAGGCUGGCCUCGAACUCCUGAGCUCAGAUGAUUCACCCGCCUCGGCAUCCCAAAGUGCUGGGAUUACAGGUGUGAGCCACUGUACCUGGCUGGAAAUAAGCAUUUAAUACUUAUCUGUGAUGCCCAGCAGAUGCCAAUAGUAUUCAUGGAGAGUCCCAGUCCCAAGCUCUACAAAGUAGGGGUGAGGUAGAGCUAAGCAUCCUGUUUCACAGAGAAGCAGAGGGAUUCACAGCUGUUCUCCGCCAGCCCUCAUGUCUCAUGACUCUGUGAAGUGACAGUUUCCAUGGGCUCAGAGUAGAUGCUGCGAAGCUUUCUAGAGUCCUCUGACCCUGGAAGCUGCUAAUUAAAGUGCCACCAAGAUGCUUCCAGAGACUCUGAGCUAGUUACACGUACAUAUUAAAGAGCUGACCUUCCCCCUUCUUGUCUGUCGUACCCCACUGUGAGUGCUGUGGGUGGUCAGCAAAUAAUAACAGUUAAUAACUCUCUCCUAUUCUUUCAAAGCUCUACAGAAAUGCAAAUUGCUGCCUUCAGAAGGAAGCACACGGGCCUAUGAAUUUUAUAUCAGCAGGGAUUACCAAUGAGUCAUGCUUGAUGUUGUAAAAACUAUUCAGGUAGGCAGGCAGGUGCUGCAAUAAGAAUAGCAUCCCUUUCCUGAAUGUUCAGUUAUUGAAGUGCACGCUCGUGUGGGUAUACACACAACCACACAUGCCCAACUCACAAAAAUAGGCAAUUAUAUAAAAUAUAUGCCAGAAUCUCCACAGGAAGGAAAGCUAAACUCUUUAAAACCAAAUGCUUAUCACGCUGCCGAAGAGAAGUAAAUCUCUAAGGUGGUAAGCAGUGUUAAUAUGUGGGCGAGCGCCAGAACACAUGCAGAUGUGUGUUAUUUAUGCCUUUAAUUGUUAUUUCCAGUAGAUGUCUGGCUGUCAAUGCACAUGAGUUAAGUACCGUAAAAUAACAGAUGUCACACAUCUCACAAGAACAACAGGGAGUCAAUAUACAUGGCAGUGUAAAUCUGAUUACCUUAGAUAGUAAGGAAAAGAGAAAGAACGCAAAACCAGAUGAGCCUAUGGCUGUAAUUUAAAAAACAAAUUAUCCCAUUUGAAUAUGUUCUAUAGUAAUUAUGCAUUUACACUGAGUACACUAAGAGAAAAGCCAUCUUGGAAGAACAGAGCCGAUUUGGGUAAUUGCAGUGAAUUCUUAUAAUUUUAUGUUGUCUUGGCAUCCAUUUUGAAUACAAAUUUAAGUUUGUUAUACCGGAAGCAGAGCUCGAUCACCCUUGACACAGUUUCUGGUUCUACACCACACCCAAAUGGCUCUAGACAUGGCCAGAGAUAACCUAGAGGCAUCUGUUCUGCAUACCAAGGCUCCCUGCUUUCUCAUUGAUUCCUUUAAAUGAACCAGUCAGGCAUUUGCCUGUGAACUGAAAGUGUCCCACACCCUAUUCCUUUAUAUAUACUGCUGGCUGCCCUCUCUGUCUCUCUCUGCCUGACUCUUCGUUCUUGCCUGAUGUGACCCAGGGAUGAAGACUGUUCUUGACUCAUUGUGCCCUCCCUACUCAGUCUCUGUAAAUAAAAAUCUUAGAACUUG